rnacentral:tRNA from 1 species
GCUCCGGUAGUAUAGUCCGGUCAAGUAUAGCGGCCUCUCGCCCCUAACAACACCGGGAGAAAGCCGCCGACCCGGGUUCAAAUCCCGGCCGGAGCACCA